GGGGAGAGGAGAGGAGAGAAAUGGCCAAGACACCAAGAAGAAAGCAGGAAAGGAGGAAAAGAAGGAACUGAAAAUUUAAGGGAGUGGUGUGAAUUAGUCCAAAGGAAGGGACUAGGUGAUGACCAACAAUGUCUCUCUGGGGAGAGUCCAGCUGAGAAAACAAGCGCCAAGUCCUCCAAGCCAACUGCCCCAUGAGCCUCUGUUCAAUUUAUUCGACUCCCGGAUCACUGUAAGAAUGCUGAGGUUACAGCUGUGUACCACCUCAUCAAGCUUUCUCCUGGGUUUCAGGGAUUGAACUUGGUUCAUCAAGUUUGUGUGAUAUAAGCAGGGAGAUUUUAAGAAUCUACGUUCUGCUGUCUACCACAGAGGAAGCAAACAGUUCUUCUCUUGCCAGUAAGGAGCAGAGGCAGACAUUUUGAGGAGCCUGAAUGUUAAGAGAUUGGACUUCUCACAAGAGAAACAGAGCUACAACUAGAAUUUUUUUUUAAGAGCACAUUGUAGGAUUGGCAAGAUUCACCAAUGGUUAAAGAGUCACACAUUUACAGCUCACAAUGGCCAUGAAGUCAUGAUUCCCCUGCUUCAUUUCCCAAGUGCUGGGAUUGCACAUGUGGGCUACUUCCCCCAACUUCCUGAAGAUGGCAGUGGGCCGGCUUGUCACGUCUAGAGGACAGAGUUCCACAAUCGCUAUACAAGUCUACGUUGUGACUGCCUAGAGUACACAGUCCAUGUCAGGAACACUCCUCAUUUGAUUCUGACUUCAUCUAUCCUUCAGUCUCAGAUCAGGUAUCACAAGAUGUCAUCUGUUUAACCUUAACCUGACGCUGGGAAUCUACUACUACUACUGCUUGUCUUUUUUAGGAAUCUAGACACUAAAUGAACUGACUUGUGAUCAAAACCGCGGCAGCAAUGGCUGAUGGUCAUUUGUUCAGUCCAGCCGCAGCCACAGCUUGAAAGGAUGUGUUAAUAACUCCAGUGGGCUGGGUCCCCAGUCUGUCCUGAUUCUGACCUGGAUUCACCAUGUACUUGUGGAAUUUGCAUAUUAUUUGACAACUUCCUACAAAAUCACCUUUGCUUCUCCAGGAUGAUGGUCCCUACUUUUCUUUGAAACAAGCUAAUGUGUAACAUUCUCACAGGAUUCUUGUUUUUUUCUUUAGAUUUAUAUACAUUAGACAUGUCUGUACAUGUUUAUGCUUUUAUAGUAUUUCAUUUUAAGACAGGGGCUCUCUAUGAAGCUCUGACCGUUCUAGAACUCACUGUGUGGAUGAAACUGGCCUCAAUGUUACCCAGACUCACUUGGCUCUGCUUCUUAAGUGGUGGGAUUAAAGGCAGAUGCCAUUACUCCUGGCUAAUUAUGAACCUUGAAGUGAAGACUGUAAUAAGUAGAUUAAUUAAAUAGAGCAUUUUAUAUAUUUCUUUUAAUAUAGUGAAAAUAGGGAAAUACUUACAUAUGCACAAUCACAUACAGCCUUAUACAUAUGUGCUAUAGAGUAUGUAUUUUAAAUAUAUUAUGCAUUGGGGGCUCAGCAGUUAGGAGCACUUGUUGAUUUUAGCUGCUGGAACAUAUGUUGGGUGGCUCACAAACUCCUGUAAAACCGAGACAAAGUAACUCCAAUAAUUAUUUCUGGCCUGUGUGGGCACCUGUAUCGAUGUAGUAUACAUUCUCUCCCUCUCUCCCUCUCUCUCCCUCUCCCUCUCUCUUUCCUUCUCCCUCUCUCUUUCCUUUUCCCUCUCUCUUUCCUUCUCUCUCUCUCUUGCUCUCACACAUACAUUC
rnacentral:lncRNA from 1 species